UACAGAGGGGGCAAGCGUUAUUCGGAAUUACUGGGCGUAAAGGGCGCGUAGGCGGCCCUGCAAGUCAAAGGUGAAAUCCCUCGGCUCAACUGAGGAACUGCCUUUGAAACUGCGGGGCUUGAGGCCGGGAGGGGGUAGCGGAAUUCCCAGUGUAGCGGUGAAAUGCGUAGAUAUUGGGAGGAACACCAGUGGCGAAGGCGGCUACCUGGACCGGUUCUGACGCUGAUGCGCGAAAGCGUGGGUAGCAAACAGG
rnacentral:rRNA from 1 species